rnacentral:antisense_RNA from 2 species
CAUAACCAAAUAUAACAGCUGGAUUUAAAGUUGGAUUAUCAAUUAUUCUAACAUCUCCUCCACCUGGAGCCCAUGUAUCGUAUAAACCACCAACAUAAAUAGCUUUUAUAACUAAUAAUAAUGCACCAAACCCAAGUAUUACUAAAUGAAUACCUAGAAUCGUAGUAAUCUUAUUUUUAUCACGCCA